rnacentral:rRNA from 1 species
GACGAACGCUGGCGGCGUGCUUAACACAUGCAAGUCGAACGGAAAGGCCCUGCUUUUGUGGGGUGCUCGAGUGGCGAACGGGUGAGUAACACGUGAGUAACCUGCCCGUGACUUUGGGAUAACUUCAGGAAACUGGGGCUAAUACCUGAUAGGAGCUCCUGCUGCAUGGUGGGGGUGGGAAAGUUUCGGCGGUUGGGGAUGGACUCCCGGCUUAUCAGCUUGUUGGUGGGGUAGUGGCUUACCAAGGCUUUGACGGGUAGCCGGCCUGAGAGGGUGACCGGCCACAUUGGGACUGAGAUACGGCCCAGACUCCUACGGGAGGCAGCAGUGGGGAAUAUUGCACAAUGGGCGGAAGCCUGAUGCAGCAACGCCGCGUGCGGGAUGACGGCCUUCGGGUUGUAAACCGCUUUCGCCUGUGACGAAGCGUGAGUGACGGUAAUGGGUAAAGAAGCACCGGCUAACUACGUG